rnacentral:rRNA from 1 species
UACAGAGGGUGCAAGCGUUGUUCGGAAUUAUUGGGCGUAAAGCGCGUGUAGGCGGCUUUGCAAGUCGGGUGUGAAAGCCCUCAGCUCAACUGAGGAAGUGCGCCCGAAACUGCAGAGCUUGAGUACCGGAGAGGAUGGCGGAAUUCCCCAAGUAGAGGUGAAAUUCGUAGAUAUGGGGAGGAACACCGGUGGCGAAGGCGGCCAUCUGGACGGUCACUGACGCUGAGACGGCGAAAAGCGUGGGUAGCAAACAGG